rnacentral:rRNA from 1 species
GAUGAACGCUAGCUACAGGCUUAACACAUGCAAGUCGAGGGGCAGCAUGACGAUAGCUUGCUAUUGUUGAUGGCGACCGGCGCACGGGUGAGUAACGCGUAUCCAACCUGCCCUUGUCCACCGGAUAACCCGUCGAAAGGCGGACUAACACGGUAUGCAGUCCACAGCAGACAUCUAACGUGGACGAAAUGUGAAGGAGAAGGAUGGGGAUGCGUCUGAUUAGCUUGUUGGCGGGGUAACGGCCCACCAAGGCGACGAUCAGUAGGGGUUCUGAGAGGAAGGUCCCCCACAUUGGAACUGAGACACGGUCCAAACUCCUACGGGAGGCAGCAGUGAGGAAUAUUGGUCAAUGGGCGAGAGCCUGAACCAGCCAAGUAGCGUGCAGGAAGACGGCCCUAUGGGUUGUAAACUGCUUUAUACGGGGAUAAGGUGAGUCACGUGUGGCUUAUUGCAGGUACCGUAUGAAUAAGGACCGGCUAAUUCCGUGCCAGCAGCCGCCGUAA